CUCCCCUCCCCAUGUCACCUCCCCUCCCCACCCCACCUCACCCCCUCUCCCCUCCUCACCUCCUCUCCCCAUUCAUCCUCACACUCCUGCCUCCCCCAUCUCUGAGGUGACUGGGGAAUGUCCAGUGGGUGUCAGGCAUGUGGGGGGAGAUGUGGCCCCCAGGGCUGUGUAGACAACAGGACCCUGCAAGGAAGGGGCCUUCCCACAGUGGGGCCCAAGACCUUAGGCAGAGGCCAGAAAUCUGUCCCCAAGUGAUGCAGUUAGAGAGGAUUUCAGGCCCAGGUUCUCUCUGGCAAGCCCAAGGAAAGGGAAAGAAGCCCAUUUUAUUGAAAUAACACCAGGAGAAAUCACUGCCCUUAGCCAGUCACACACUUCAUUUUGUCACUUAGAAUUAAUGGGGCCAAAGAAGUGGUCAGACUAGGCCAGGUGCAGUGGCUCACACCUGUAAUCCCAGCACUUUGGGAGGUCCAGGUGGGCAGAUCACUUGAGGUCAAGAGUUCGAGAGCAGCCUGGCCAACAUGGUGAAACCCCAACUCUACUAAAAAUAUAAAAUUAAGGCCAGGCGCAGUGGCUCACGCCUGUAAUCCCAGCACUUUGGGAGGCUGAGGUGGGCGGAUCACAAGGUCAAGAGAUCGAGACCAUCCUGGCCAACAUGGUGAAACCCUGUCUCUACUGAAAAUACAAAAAUUAGCUGGGCGUGGUGGCGCACACCUGUAGUUCCAGCUACUUGGUCUCGGGAGGCUGAGGCAGGACAAUCGCCUGAACCCAGGAGGCGGAGGUUGCAGUGAGCUGAGAUAGCACCGCUGCGCUCCAGCCUGGUGACAGAGCGAGACUCUGUCAAAAAAAAAAAAAAAAAAAUUAGUCGGGCAUGGUGGUGUGUGCCUGUAAUCCCAGCUACUCAGAAGGCUGAGGCACAAGAAUCACUUGAACCCAGGAGGCAGAGGUUGCAGUGAGCCAAGAUCGCACCACUGCACUCCAGUCUGGACGACAGAGUGAGACUCCAUCUCAAAAAAAAAAAAAAAGGCCAGGCGCGGUGGCUCAUGCCUGCAAUUCCAGCACUUUGGGAGGCCAAGGCAGGCAGAUCACAAGGUCAGGAGUCCAAGACCAGCCUGACCAACAUGGCAAAACCCCAUCUCUACUAAAAAUACAAAAAGUAGCUGGGCGUGGUGGGAUGCGCCUGUAAUCUUAGCUACUCAGGAGGCUGAGGAAGGAGAAUUGCUUGAAUCUGGGAGGCGGAGGUUGCAGUGAGCUGAGAUCAUGCCACUGCAGUCCAGCCUGGGUGGCAGAGUGAGGCUCCAUCUCAAAAAAAAAAGAAGUGGCCAGCCUCGAAGUCCUCUGCAGAGCCAUGGAUUACUUUUGCCACCUUCCUGAAAACCAGGAGCAGAAAGUACAGUGACUUCCCCGUGGAGCAGCAUGACAUCCCUGGGGGGCAGUGUGUGUACCUGGGUGACCAGCGCUAUUGUCUUCUGGGUCAGCUUUUAUAGAAGCGGACACUGCCCUUCUGCCACGUCACAGGCCAGGGCCUGACCCCCACGUGCCACUUUUACCAUCCAGAUAGACAUCACUAAGUCAUCUCGCGCCCUAAAGUUCCUCUGUAAGGUGGAUGUAGUAGUGACAAGAACAGAUGUUACUUCCUCCCCUCAUCCUAGUCCCAUGUGGGGUUAAGAAGCAGGGACAUUUGUCUUGAGGCUGGCAGCGUGCCUGGCCUCGGUGCUGAGGGCGUCGUCCCCUGACGCUGUGCCAGGCCCACCAGGUCUGCAGUUGACACCCAAGACGGUCAGGGAGGGUUGAUGGAGCUUGGUGGCCUCGGCCAGCCUGGACCAGCCAUCAGCGUCCUCACCUUCUGUGCCACUGCCCAGCCCCUUGUAGGAUCUGACCCUUCUUUCGCUGCUGUAACAAAAUACCUGAGACUGGGUAAUUUAUAAACAACAGAAAUGGAUUUCUCACAGGGCUGGAGGCUGGGAAGUCCAAGAUCGAGGCAGGUUCUGUCUGGUGAGGGCUGCUCUCGGUAUCAUAAAUGGCGCACUCACCAUCAUCGUGGUGGAAGGCGAAGACAAGCUCCCUUGAGUGCUAAAAGCUGCUGAUGAGGAUGGAGGGCCCUCAGGACUCACCACCUCCAAACAGCCCCACCACUUUUUUUUUUUUUUUUUUUUCUGAGACCGAGUUUCACUCUUGUCACCCAGGCUGGAGUGUAAUGGUGCAAUCUUGGCUCACUGCAACCUCUGCCUCCCAGGUUCAAGUGAUUCUCCUGCCUCAGCCUCCCGAGUAGCUAGGAUUACAGGCAUCCACCACCAUGCCUGGCUAAUUGGAUCUUUAUUUGUAUUUGUAUUUUAGUUUAUUUGUAUUUUUAAUUGAGAUGGGAUUUCACCAUGUUGGCCAGGCUGGUCUUGAACUCCUGACUUCAGGUGAUCUGCCUACCUCAGCCUCUCAAAGUGCUGGGAUUACAGGCAUGAGGCACUAUGUCCGGCCAGCCUCACCUCUUAAAACCAUGUCAUUGGGGAUUAGGUUUCAACAUAGGAAUUUGGUGGGGGGGACACAAACCUUCAGACCAUAGGACAGAGCUAUCAGGAGUCCUGAGUGAGGAGGUUGGCGUGGGGUGGGACAGUGCUCCCUGUGUGGGAAGGGACAGGGUCAGGGUGGGGAGAGGAGUUGUUUCCAUCCUCUGAGAGGCCAGGGAUCUCCUCAGAGGGUGGUCCACACGGUAUAGCCCAUUACAUGGGACGCUGGCCUGUGGGCACCUCAAGGCAGCGGCCAAGGCAGCUUCAUCUGUUUUCUCACCAGUGCCUGAUACAGGCCCUGCCUCAGUGGGACCCUAUUAAACUUAGGUGAAUUUUAAAGCAAUAGGCCAGGUGUGAUGGCUCAGGCCUGUAAUCCCAGCACUUUGGGAGGCCUAGGUGGGCGGAUCACCUGAGGUUGGGAGUUCGAGACCAGCCCGACCAACAUGGAGAAACCCCAUCUCUACUAAAAAUACAAAAUUAGCCAGGCGUGGUGGCACAUGCCUGUAAUCCCAGCUACUCGGGAGGCUGAGACAGGAGAAUCAUUUGAACCCGGGAGGCAGAGGUUGCGGUGAGCUGAGAUCGCGCCACUGCACUCCAGCCUGGGCAACAAGAGUGAAAGUCCAUCUCAAAUAAAUACAUGAAAAUAAAGAAAUGUGGAUGCGGACCCCAGGAAGCCUUGUAGUGGAGAAGUCCUAGUGCCUGGGAGCAUUCAAGCUGGUACACUCUGCCCUGGGAGGAGACAUCCUGGGGGUCUUUGGCUCAGCCCCCUCAUUUCUCUCCCAGCUCAGCCUCUAAAACAAGGCCUGCUGUUGGUGACAAAAUGCCCUUGGCUGAUGUUCUGGGCAAUGAGUCACUGCGUGUGGCUGGGCCAGCUUCACAGGUGUGACCCAUGCAGGCCCACAGGCCCCGAGCUCAGCAGGCUGCAGCUGGGUUUAAUGCUCCACGGUCGCCAUCUUGAAACUGUGAAUAACUUUUGAACAAGGGGCCCCACAGCCUUUCAUUUUGUGAGGGGCCCUUGGCACAUUCUGUGGCUGGUCCUGCAAGGGGUGGUGCGUUCUUUCCCGUUUACAUUGGUGUAGAUUAAUAUAAACGCUUCCUUUCUUUCCUUGCCUGGUGGGGAAUGGAUCAGAAAGACAGGGCUGAUAAUAGAAACCAGCAGAGAAUCUCCAAGUGUAAGACAUUAGUCAAAGGCCUGGCGUGGAGCCCACAGGUCCUUAGCGUUCUGAAGACGAUUGCCUCCCCAGCCCACUCCAAGGAGGAAUCAGUGCUGUCUGGCAGCAGCCUCCAGGGACAAGAGGGAAAAAAGCUCAGCAUUAGCAGAGAAGACGGACUUCUGCGGUGGCACCUACAGCUGUUCCCUUGGCCUCGCGAACAACCCAGGUGUGACGUGGGGAACGGGGAAUGCAGGCAACAGAGUGAUUCCAGCUGCCUCACAAGGAAAAGGGUUUGUGGGAAGAGCAGAGCAUCCGGGCUGGAAGCACAGUCAGAACCAUGGGUGGAGCCGGACACUCAUUGUUCUUCCCCACGUGUGCUGGGCACCCGCUCUGGGUCAGGCUCUGUUCCAGGAGUUGGGUGAAACGGUGACUGAAAUAGACAGGACUCCUGUCGGUGAUGCCCACGUGAGAGAAUAUAAUCGAUGGACAAUGCACCGCACAUAUUUAAAACGUGCAAAUUGAUCUGUUUUGACAUAUGGAUGUCUGUGAACCAGCUCUACAAUUAAGAUGGUGACCAUCUCCAUCACCCUCAAAGUUUCCUGCUCUUUGGAAUCCCCCCACUCCAGUCUCCAGCCACCCACUGACCGGCAACCACCGAGAUGGUGUCUCACUGUGUUUCCCAGGCUGGUGUGGAACUCCUGGCCUCAAGUCAUCCUGCUGCCUUGGCCUCUGAAAGUGCUGGGAUUACAAAUGUGGGCCAUCACCCCCAGCCCCUCUCUGCAAUUUUUGGCUAUUAUGAAUAAAGCUGCUAUGAGCAGUCAUGGA